rnacentral:rRNA from 1 species
GACGAACGCUGGCGGCGUGCCUAAUACAUGCAAGUCGAACGCUGAAGCGAGGAGCUUGCUCUUCUUGGAUGAGUUGCGCACGGGUGAGUAACGCGUAGGUAACCUGCCUUGUAGCGGGGGAUAACUAUUGGAAACGAUAGCUAAUACCGCAUAACAAUAGGUGACACAUGUCAUUUAUUUGAAAGGGGCAAUUGCUCCACUACAAGAUGGACCUGCGUUGUAUUAGCUAGUAGGUGAGGUAACGGCUCACCUAGGCGACGAUACAUAGCCGACCUGAGAGGGGGAUCGGCCACACUGGGACUGAGACACGGCCCAGACUCCUACGGGAGGCAGCAGUAGGGAAUCGGCGGCAAUGGGGGCAACCCUGACCGAGCAACGCCGCGUGAGUGAAGAAGGGUGUCGGAUCGGAAAGCUCGGUUGUAAGUCAAGAACGAGUGUGAGAGUGGAAAGUUCACACUGUGACGGUAGCUGAACAGAAAGGGACGGCUAACUACGUG